rnacentral:rRNA from 1 species
AACAGGAUUAGAUACCCUGGUAGUCCACGCCGUAAACGAUGUCGACUUGGAGGUUGUUCCCUUGAGGAGUGGCUUCCGGAGCUAACGCGUUAAGUCGACCGCCUGGGGAGUACGGCCGCAAGGUUAAAACUCAAAUGAAUUGACGGAGGCCCGCACAAGCGGUGGAGCAUGUGGUUUAAUUCGAUGCAACGCGAAGAACCUUACCUACUCUUGACAUCCACGGAAUUUGGCAGAGAUGCCUUAGUGCCUUCGGGAACCGUGAGACAGGUGCUGCAUGGCUGUCGUCAGCUCGUGUUGUGAAAUGUUGGGUUAAGUCCCGCAACGAGCGCAACCCUUAUCCUUUGUUGCCAGCGAUUCGGUCGGGAACUCAAAGGAGACUGCCGGUGAUAAACCGGAGGAAGGUGGGGAUGACGUCAAGUCAUCAUGGCCCUUACGAGUAGGGCUACACACGUGCUACAAUGGCGCAUACAAAGAGAAGCGACCUCGCGAGAGCAAGCGGACCUCACAAAGUGCGUCGUAGUCCGGAUCGGAGUCUGCAACUCGACUCCGUGAAGUCGGAAUCGCUAGUAAUCGUGGAUCAGAAUGCCACGGUGAAUACGUUCCCGGGCCUUGUACACACCGCCCGUCACACCAUGGGAGUGGGUUGCAAAAGAAGUAGGUAGCUUAACCUUCGGGAGGGCGCUUACCACUUUGUGAUUCAUGACUGGGGUGAAGUCGUAACAAGGUAACC